UGCAGUCGAGGGGUAUUUAUCUUCGGAUAGAGAGACCGGCGCACGGGUGCGUAACGCGUAUGCAAUCUACCUUUUACAGAGGGAUAGCCCAGAGAAAUUUGGAUUAAUACCUCAUAGUAUGUGAGAAUGGCAUCAUUUUCACAUUAAAGUCACAACGGUAAAAGAUGAGCAUGCGUCCCAUUAGCUAGUUGGUAAGGUAACGGCUUACCAGGGCUACGAUGGGUAGGGGUCCUGAGAGGGAGAUCCCCCACACUGGUACUGAGACACGGACCAGACUCCUACGGGAGGCAGCAGUGAGGAAUAUUGGACAAUGGGCGCAAGCCUGAUCCAGCCAUGCCGCGUGCAGGAUGACGGUCCUAUGGAUUGUAAACUGCUUUUGCACAGGAAGAAACAACUCUACGUGUAGAGUCUUGACGGUACUGUGAGAAUAAGGAUCGGCUAACUCCGUGCCAGCAGCCGCGGUAAUACGGAGGAUCCAAGCGUUAUCCGGAAUCAUUGGGUUUAAAGGGUCCGUAGGCGGUUUAGUAAGUCAGUGGUGAAAGCCCAUCGCUCAACGGUGGAACGGCCAUUGAUACUGCUAGACUUGAAUUAUUAGGAAGUAACUAGAAUAUGUAGUGUAGCGGUGAAAUGCUUAGAGAUUACAUGGAAUACCAAUUGCGAAGGCAGGUUACUACUAAUGGAUUGACGCUGAUGGACGAAAGCGUGGGUAGCGAACAGGAUUAGAUACCCUGGUAGUCCACGCCGUANACGAUGGAUACUAGCUGUUGGGAGCGAUCUCAGUGGCUAAGCGAAAGUGAUAAGUAUCCCACCUGGGGAGUACGUUCGCAAGAAUGAAACUCAAAGGAAUUGACGGGGGCCCGCACAAGCGGUGGAGCAUGUGGUUU
rnacentral:rRNA from 1 species